AUCCUUGGUGGCAGUAUCGUAGCCAAUGAGGUUUAUCCGAGGCACGAUUAUUGCUAAUUGAAUUAACUGGCCAGUCCCUUGAAACCACUUCUGUGACCUGACUCCAGCUCAGUCAGAAUGAUAUUUGGUCUCUUGGCUUUGAU